CGACGGGCCCCGCACAAGCAGCGGAGCGUGUGGUUUAAUUCGAUGCUACACGAAGAACCUUACCAGGGUUUGACAUACAAGUAGUAGGGAAAGGAAACUGGACCGACCCUUCGGGGAGCUUGAACAGGUGCUGCAUGGCUGUCGUCAGCUCGUGUCGUGAGAUGUUCGGUUAAGUCCGCUAACGAGCGCAACCCUCGCUGUGUGUUACAAGUGUCACACGGAACUGCCGGUCAUAAACCGGAGGAAGGUGGGGAUGACGUCAAGUCAGCAUGGCCUUUAUAUCCUGGGCUACACACACGCUACAAUGGGAAGGGACAAUAGGUUGCGAAACCGCGAGGUGGAGCCAAUCCAGCAAAACUUCCCUCAGUUCAGAUUGCAGGCUGCAACUCGCCUGCAUGAAGUUGGAGUUGCUAGUAAACGCAGGUCAGCCAUACUGCGUUGAAUACGUUCCCGGGGCUU
rnacentral:rRNA from 1 species